rnacentral:rRNA from 1 species
CUAGCGGAGGCCUAACACAUGCAAGCCGAGCGGUAGAGAUUUCUUCGGAAUCUUGAGAGCGGCGUACGGGUGCGGAACACGUGUGCAACCUACCUUUAUCUGGAGGAUAGCCUUUCGAAAGGAAGAUUAAUACUCAUAAUAUAUUGAUUGGCAUCAAUUGAUAUUGAAAGCUCCGGCGGAUAGAGAUGGGCACGCGCAAGAUUAGUUAGUUGGUGAGGUAACGGCUCACCAAGACGAUGAUCUUUAGGGGCCUGAGAGGGUGAUCCCCCACACUGGUACUGAGACACGGACCAGACUCCUACGGGAGGCAGCAGUGAGGAAUAUUGGUCAAUGGGUGCAAGCCUGAACCAGCCAUCCCGCGUGAAGGACGACUGCCCUAUGGGUUGUAAACUUCUUUUGUAUAGGGAUAAACCUACCCUCGUGAGGGUAGCUGAAGGUACUAUACGAAUAAGCACCGGCUAACUCCGUG